rnacentral:tRNA from 1 species
GCGUUGGUGGUUUAGUGGUAAAAUUCAUCGUUGCCAAGAAGUUGAUGCCUUACAGAGCCUGUCCUCAAAGAUGACUCCACAGGGCGUUCAGCACCAGUUUCGAUGAGCCCCGGGUUCGAUUCCCGGCCGACGCA